GUACACGGGAGGACUGUGUGUGUGUGUGAGAUUGCAAAGAUAACAGAGAGACGAGGGGAAAUGCCUCAGUGAUGUCACGCCCUCAAACUCCCGGGACUGAAAGAAAACAGCCAGUAGGGAACUUCCUGAAGCUUCAUAUGUCCUCACAUUUUUGUUUGAAAUGACCAGGAAAUUGUUGGGCCUCUCAGGACCUCUGAUAUAUGAGGACCUGAGCCCUAGGACCAUGCCUCAUGAUGACCUGGCAUGAUGACUCCUUGCUGUCCCCAGUCCACCUGGCCGUGCUGCUGCUCCAGUUUCAACUGUUCUGCCUGCGGCUAUGGAAUCCUGACCUGUUCACCGGAUGUGCUACCUGUCCCAGACCUAUUAUUUGACCUACAUCUUGGCCAUGUUCUGUUAUAAUCUCCACCCGGCACAGCCAGAAGAGGACUGGCCACCCCUCAUAGCCUGGUUCCUCUCUAGGUUUCUUCCUAGGUUUUGGCCUUUCUAUGGAGUUUUUCCUAGCCAACAUCCUUCAACACUUGCAUUGCUUGCUGUUUGGGGUUUUAGGCUGGGUUUCUGUAAAGCAUUUUGAGAUAUCAGCUGAUGUACGAAGGGCUAUAUAAAUACAUUUGAUUUGAUUUGAAGUGGAAUCUGUGGUUUCAUUCAAAUGUGAGCAUAAAUGCAUCAUUAACCUAUACAUGUCAUGAUAUCAAAUAUUAAUACCAUGCACCAUGCUUGCUGAACAAAUUAGCUCAAUAAUAUAGAUAAUCAAUGCAGAUCUCCAGCCCAUGUGCAGCAUGUUACAUUUCCUGCUGGGUGUAACAUAAUGAAGCUGGAUUGAAUGGUAUCUGAAAUGACACAGUGCAUUUGGAAAGUAUUAAGGGUUCCCUUGACUUUUUCCACAUUUUGUUACAUUACAGCCUUAUACUAAAAUUUAUUAAAUACUUUUUCCCCUCAUCAAUCUAUGUACAAUGUCCCAUAAUGACAAAGCUACAUUUUUGCAAAUGUAUAAAAAAUAUCACAUUCACAUUUACUUUACUCAGUACUUUGUUGAAGCACCUUUGGCAGCAAUUACAGCCUCGAGUCUUCUUGGGUAUGACGCUACAAGCUUGGCACACCUGUAUUUGGGGAGUUUAUUCUAUUCUUCUCUGCAGAUCCUCUCAAGCUCUGCCAGGUUGGAUGGGGAGAGUCACUGCACAACUAUUUUCAGGUCUCUCCAUAGAUGUUUUAUCGUGUUCAAGUUUGGGCUCUAGCUGGGCCACUCAAGAACAUUCAGAGACUUGUCCUGAAGCCACUCCUGCGUUGUCAUGGCUGUGUACUUAGGGUCGUUGUCCUGUUGGAAGAUGAACCUUUGCCCCAGUCUGAGGUCCUGAGCAUUAUGGAGCAGCUUUUCAUCAAGGAUACCUCUGUACUUUGCUCUGUUCCUCUUACCCUCAAUCCUGACUAGUCUUCCAGUCCCUGCUUCUGAAAAACAUCCCCACAGCAUGAUGCUGCCACCACCAUGCUUCACCGUAGGGAUGGUGUCAGGUUUAUUCGAGACGUGAAGCUUGGGAUUCAGGCCAAAGAGUUCAAUCUUGGUUUCAUCAAACCAGAGAAUCUUGUUUCUCAUGGUGUGAGAGUCCUUUAGGUGACUUUUGGUAAACUCCAAGCAGGCUGUCAUGUGGCUUUUACUGAGGAGUGGCUUCCGUCUGGUCACUCUACCAUAAAGGCCUGAUUGGUGGAGUGCUGCAGAGAUGGUUGUCCUUCUGGAAGGUUCUCCCGUAUCCACAGAGGAACACUGGAACUCUGUCAGAGUGACCAUCCCUGACCAAGGCCCCACUCCCCCAAUUUCUCAGUUUGGCUGGGCGGCCAGCUCUAGGAAGAGUCUUGGCGGUGCCAAACUUCUCCCAUUUAAGAAUGAUGGAGACCACUGUGUUCUUGUGGACCUUCAAUGCUGCAGAAUUAUUUUGGUACCCUAACCAGAUCUAUAUUUCUACACAAUCCUGUCUCAGAGCUCUAUGGACAAUUCCUUCGACCUCGUGGCUUGGUUUCUUCUCUGACAUACACUGUCAACUGUGGGACUUUAAAUAGACAGAUGUAUGCCUUUCUAAAUCAUGUCCAAUCAAUUGAAUUUACCACAGGUGGACUCCAAUCAAGUUGUAGAAACAUCUCAAGGGUGAUCAAUGUAAACAGGAUGCACCUGAGCUAAAUUUCGAGUCACACAGAAAAGGGUCUGAAUACUUCUGUAAAUGAGCUAUUUCAGAUUUUUGCAAAAAGUUUUUUUUUAAACUGUUUUUGCUUUGUCAUUAUGGGGUAUUGUGUGUAGACUGAUGAGGAAAAAACGAUUUCAUCAAUUUUAGAAUAAGGUUGUAAAUGCAACAAAACGUGAGAAAAAUCAAAGUUUCUGAAGACUUUCCGAAUACACUCUACAUGCUGAAGCCAUCCCAUGCAUGUGUCAUCUGUCUCGAUUUAUUUCAGGGCUAGCGCUUCCUUACAGAAUAUGACAUGCUUUCAAAUGGCUCCUGAUGAGAAUUGAUUUGAUUUCAUCUCUCCAAGGAGGAGGAGGUGGACUGAAGCAAAACGAAAAGUGAAGGUCAUGCAAGCCAAGGAAUUUUGUUCCCCUGUUACAUCCUCUCUUUGUUUCAGAUUUGAUCUCCUCAGUACAUCUCCCUCCUUAUCGCACAUCCUCUCACCCGAAACAUGACAUGCUGUCACGACUUCCGCCGAAGUCGGCCCUUCUCCUUGUUCGGGUGGUGUUUGGCGGUCGACGUCACUGGCUUUGUAGUCACCACCGAUCCAUGUUUCAGUUUCGUUUUGUUUUGUCUGUAUUACACACACCUGGUUUCAAUUCCCAUAUCAUGUUCCUUAUUUAACCCUCUGGCAUACAUUUCUGUUCUGUCCGUGAUUGUUGGUGUCUUAAGUGGUUGUAGUAUGUGCUAGUGUAUAUGUAUGUUCCUAUUUGGAAUUUUUGCUUGACUUUUUGAGUAAACUCCGUUGUGUUGCUCAAUACCUGUGUCCUGCGCCUGACUCCGCUACAUCUCUGCACCCAAUCGCUGACACAUGCUCACCUUUCAUCCACAACACAACAAUAUUACUUAGAAGAUGCUAUUCAUCUUUCAAAUGAUG
ensembl:lncRNA